GAAUAGAAUCUGGAGUAGAUAGAGAAUAGAAUCUAGAGUAAGAAAAUGUCUAGCUUGAUAAAGAGAUGCAGCCUUAGCAGAUGUUAAUUUUGCAAUGGAUUUGAUGUACGAUUUCCAAGAAAGAUCAUAAUCGUUAAGCCUAAAAGAUGAAGAGUACUCAUCUAGUAUGUUGCUGUUCAUAAAUAAAAGAAGAUCUAAAUUAUUGCAAUAACGAUUGGCUAAAAAAAAUUGAGUUUUAUCUGAAUUAAAGUUCAUCAGCCACUGUUAGCCCCAUGUUGUAGCAAAAGUGAUAGCAGGGUUGUGGAGUCGUAAAAAAAAAGUUACGACUCCGACUCCAGUUGUUGAAAUUUUUUGAGUACAACUUCGACUCCAACUUCAAAGUAAAAAUUUUUGAAAAAUUCUUGGAAUUCUUUAAAAAAUAUUGCACGAUAAGUUGACUUUUUUUUUUUGACAAAUUUAUGCAACGCUCUUCGAGGUUUAGUAUGAACAUAAGGUUGAUUGAAUGUUUUGUACAUACACGUGCCAUACCAAGAAAUAUUACUGUUGGAGUCGCGAUAUUUUUUAGCAACUCCGACUCCACUAUAUGUGCAAACAUACAUACAUAUAUACAUACAUACAUUUUGAGAAUUCCACAUACAUACGCACACUUUGAGAAUUCCAGCUUCAAAUAUAUAUGUAUUUCAUAAGAGAUUAUAAGAUUCCAUGUUAGGUCAGUAGCAGAAUCAGAAAAGAUGUAAGAUAGAGGAUUUUUAACACUAUUGUGAUAACUAAGUUUUGUUUAAGCUAUAAACAUUGUUAGCCCUAAGGUGUAUAAGAAAAGACAUAAUUAAAGAUUGACUAAAUUCAUAACUAGAUUCUUAAACCUUAGAAAGUGAUUCUUUUUGUUUCUAAAUAGUUGAACAAGGAAAGAGCAGUCUAAUCAUGAGGCAGAUCCCAAAAAGCUAUAUUUUUCAAAAAAAAAAUUUAACAAUUUUUAAUUCACGACAUUCUUUUAAAAUGUGAUUUAAAUAUUUCAAAAUAUAUUAUUUUAUUGUAGUCUUUCUUUUUAAUGUAGAACUUUUUGUUAUUUCAAAAAAAUGAAAAUGUGCAAGAAAAGGCAGUUUGCUAAUUAAUUGUGUAUUUUCUGUCAUAUACUUUCAAUCGUUCUGCAUCAAAAAUCGUACAUGUGAGUAGGAAGAAACCUUGACGUGGUUCAUGUGCUUUAAAACAAAUACCUUCCAGACGGAUACUCUGGGACCUUAUAAUGUGGGUUAAGGAACAUUUUAUGCUUGCUUUUCUUCGUAUCUUUAUUUUUUUUAGAUAAAAUUCUUUUGAUGGCAUUGUGGAUGUCGAGAGAUAAAGAUACUGUUUUAAACAUGUUAUUUGAAGCAAAUAAAAAAAAAAAAUAGUGCAUAUCUCAACUUAAGUCUCAAAAAUGCUUAAACUUUUCGGACUUGAAAACAAUAGAAUCAAUGCUUAUGAAGACACUAAAAUGUGAUAUUGAACGUUAUAAAGAACUUUUUAUAAUUUUUUUUUUUUUUAUUGGAGUGUAUUUUUAUUUAUGUAUAAUUUAUAUUACGAUAUGUGUGAUAUGAAUUGUGUCACGAAAAAAACUAUAAUUAAAAAAAACGACAGUACUAGUA
rnacentral:lncRNA from 1 species